ACACCCAUACCUUCCCAUGUGAAUUUAAUUUAUUAUAUGUUUAGUAAUUAGUACUAUUUCAUUCUCAAAAAAAAUGAAAUAUGUUUUAGUCCAUUGUUGACGAGCUAAAAUGUUUGAGAAGAUUAUCUUUUGUGUGUUUAAGGGACGUCGGAGGAACUUCCUCUCAAGGCAUCUGUAAAGUGGGGAAAGUACCUUAGGGAUUUACAAAAGAAGACACUGUUAGAAGUUGAAUCCGUGGUGGUCGGCAACGGUACUCCGACAGUCAAGUUAGGGUGGAGAAAGUAGUGAGGAUCUUUUAGUGACUAGGUAACAACUAAAAUUAAGAAUAUGAGAAUGAGGAAGAAGAUCCUUUUUACUUAUAAACUUGACCUAACCGAGGUGCCCCUGAGGACGUCUUUGAGUCUAUGUGGACACAUGGGAGACUUAUUGGUCCUGCCCCUCUUCAAUUAGGGUAAAAUGAUACAUGUAUGUUCUAUUCAAAUAUUGGAGCCCCUGUAAUAUUUUCCAUAUAGCUAUACACGCAUAUUUACUCUUUUGAUAUUUGGUCUCUUUGAGUUUGUUAGGGACUGAAGUUACUUGAAAAGUGGCAUUCCCUUGAUGAAUUUUACGUACCUCAUUGAAUUUUGAUGCUCUUUGAUUUUUUAGGGGCUAGGCAUGUCUACUGGUCUCCCUGGAACGACCAAUUUAGGCGUUGUAACUUUCACCAGCAGGAGACUAAUUAGAAUUUAUUUGGAGAGGAGGAUGAUUAGUUGGAACAAACCUAUUGGUCUAUAGGUUAAUCGAGUUGGUGAAAUGUAGUGGAGGCCUUGUCAUAUCAAGCCUAGGAAAAACUAAGCUGGCUUAGGAGAAACUCCAAAACCCAGUAUGGCUUAGGUUGAAUUCAUGGUCUCCGCUGUCAAUCAUCACCUACUUGUUCCUCUUCGGAUAUUUUCUACUGCCCUAGGGGGCUUUAAGAUGUUAAGGAACAAAUGAGAUGGACUUCCCCUAUGAUGAGGAUUCCUGGCCUUUCUCCUUAGACAUGCAGCAUUCUGUUUUAGGCCUCGAAAAUUAACCAUUAACAACGCAACAGUCGAUUUUCAUGAAAACAUUAUGCAGCAAUGUAAUAUUAUUAUUUCUAAUUUAGUGUAAAUGUAGUUGCCGAUAUUAGUUGGCUGUUAAAUUACUUUCAUAAUAGUCGCUUACAUGAGUUUAUGAUUUCUCCAUUAUUUAUAUAUGCCCUCUCAAACUAAAUUCUUGUUCCACCACUAAUCUUGAAAUUUUUUAUUCGUGAUA
rnacentral:lncRNA from 1 species